ACGAUGAAGCUUAGCUUGCUAGGUGGAUUAGUGGCGAACGGGUGAGUAACACGUAGGUAAUCUGCCCUGCACUUUGGGAUAAGCCUGGGAAACUGGGUCUAAUACCGAAUAGGACACACUAUCUUUACGGUGGUGUGUGGAAAGCUUUUGCGGUGUGGGAUGAGCCUGCGGCCUAUCAGCUUGUUGGUGGGGUAAUGGCCUACCAAGGCGUCGACGGGUAGCCGGCCUGAGAGGGUGUACGGCCACAUUGGGACUGAGACACGGCCCAGACUCCUACGGGAGGCAGCAGUGGGGAAUAUUGCACAAUGGGCGAAAGCCUGAUGCAGCGACGCCGCGUGGGGGAUGAAGGCCUUCGGGUUGUAAACUCCUUUCGCUAGGGACGAAGAGUUACAUUGACGGUACCUGGAGAAGAAGCACCGGCUAACUACGUGCCAGCAGCCGCGGUAAUACGUAGGGUGCGAGCGUUGUCCGGAAUUACUGGGCGUAAAGAGCUCGUAGGUGGUUUGUCGCGUCGUCUGUGAAAUCCCGGGGCUUAACUCCGGGCGUGCAGGCGAUACGGGCAUAACUUGAGUGCUGUAGGGGAGACUGGAAUUCCUGGUGUAGCGGUGAAAUGCGCAGAUAUCAGGAGGAACACCAAUGGCGAAGGCAGGUCUCUGGGCAGUAACUGACGCUGAGGAGCGAAAGCAUGGGUAGCGAACAGGAUUAGAUACCCUGGUAGUCCAUGCCGUAAACGGUGGGCGCUAGGUGUAGGGGACUUCCACGUCUUCUGUGCCGCAGCUAACGCAUUAAGCGCCCCGCCUGGGGAG
rnacentral:rRNA from 1 species